rnacentral:rRNA from 1 species
UGGGGAAUAUUGCACAAUGGGCGCAAGCCUGAUGCAGCCAUGCCGCGUGUAUGAAGAAGGCCUUCGGGUUGUAAAGUACUUUCAGUCGGGAGGAAGGUGUCAAGGUUAAUAACCUUGGCAAUUGACGUUACCGACAGAAGAAGCACCGGCUAACUCCGUGCCAGCAGCCGCGGUAAUACGGAGGGUGCAAGCGGUAAUCGGAAUUACUGGGCGUAAAGCGCACGCAGGCGGUUGAUUGAGUCAGAUGUGAAAUCCCCGGGCUUAACCCGGGAAUUGCAUCUGAUACUGGUCAGCUAGAGUCUUGUAGAGGGGGGUAGAAUUCCAUGUGUAGCGGUGAAAUGCGUAGAGAUGUGGAGGAAUACCGGUGGCGAAGGCGGCCCCCUGGACAAAGACUGACGCUCAGGUGCGAAAGCGUGGGGAGCAAACA